rnacentral:misc_RNA from 1 species
GCAAACUUGGUCAUUUAGAGGAAGUAAAAGUCGUAACAAGGUCUCCGUUGGUGAACCAGCGGAGGGAUCAUUAACGAGUUUAAAGACUCCUAAACCAUUGUGAACGAAACCGUCAUCGUUGCUUCGGCGGGUGGCUCUUUUAACAGGAGCCACGCCCUCUUUCGGGGCAGCCCGCCGGAGGCGUACAAACUCUUGCUUUUAGUUGGCAUCUCUGAGUAGCUUAUUUAAUAAGUUAAAACUUUCAACAACGGAUCUCUUGGUUCUGGCAUCGAUGAAGAACGCAGC